rnacentral:rRNA from 1 species
UACACCCCUGCGGGAGGCAGCAGUGGGGAAUAUUGGACAAUGGGCGCAAGCCUGAUCCAGCCAUGCCGCGUGAGUGAUGAAGGCCCUAGGGUUGUAAAGCUCUUUCACCGGUGAAGAUAAUGACGGUAACCGGAGAAGAAGCCCCGGCUAACUUCGUGCCAGCAGCCGCGGUAAUACGAAGGGGGCUAGCGUUGUUCGGAUUUACUGGGCGUAAAGCGCACGUAGGCGGACUAUUAAGUCAGGGGUGAAAUCCCGGGGCUCAACCCCGGAACUGCCUUUGAUACUGGUAGUCUUGAGUUCGAGAGAGGUGGGUGGAAUUCCGAGUGUAGAGGUGAAAUUCGUAGAUAUUCGGAGGAACACCAGUGGCGAAGGCGGCUCACUGGCUCGAUACUGACGCUGCGGUGCGACAGCGUGGGGAGCAAACGGGAUUAGAAACCCUGGUAGUCCCAUG